AUCCCAUCGCUAGCAACGCAGGCUUAACACAUUGCAAGUCGAGGGCGUAUAGGUUUUCGGACCUAGAGACCGGCGCACGGGUGCGUAACGCGUAUGCAAUCUACCUUUCACAGAGGGAUAGCCCAGAGAAAUUUGGAUUAAUACCUCAUAGUAUAGCAGUUUCGCAUGAAACCACUAUUAAAGUCACAACGGUGAAAGAUGAGCAUGCGUCCCAUUAGCUAGUUGGUAAGGUAACGGCUUACCAAGGCAACGAUGGGUAGGGGUCCUGAGAGGGAGAUCCCCCACACUGGUACUGAGACACGGACCAGACUCCUACGGGAGGCAGCAGUGAGGAAUAUUGGACAAUGGGCGCAAGCCUGAUCCAGCCAUGCCGCGUGCAGGAUGACGGUCCUAUGGAUUGUAAACUGCUUUUGUACAGGAAGAAACACCUCUACGUGUAGAGACUUGACGGUACUGUAAGAAUAAGGAUCGGCUAACUCCGUGCCAGCAGCCGCGGUAAUACGGAGGAUCCAAGCGUUAUCCGGAAUCAUUGGGUUUAAAGGGUCCGUAGGCGGUCAGAUAAGUCAGUGGUGAAAGCCCAUCGCUCACGGU
rnacentral:rRNA from 1 species